GCGGGGUUAGGCAGUAAAAAACUAAAAACGAAACGAUCGAUCGUUUCGUCUAAGCGAUAGCGUCUCUCGUUUUUCCGUGUAAGGCUAGGCAGUAACAGACGACAGUCGCUUUCGUGCAGACGAAGGUGAAUCGUCAAAAAAAACAAAUUAUUGUCUAUACUUGACGAUCAACAUUGUGUCAUUUGAAUUUGACGUAUAAAGGUCAAAUAUUCUCGCGGUAAAAAUACAAAAGUUUAGUGAAGUGUUUGUGUUUCAAUUUACGUUUUGUAAAAUGAAUUCUUAAAACGCAAGCAAUGAGCAAAUCGCCAUAAUGGUGGAAUUUAUGGAAAGGUACGUCAAUAACGUAUUUAAAAUGGUAAACACCCCGCAGGGAAGAGUGAGGCGCCAGGAACUUUGCCAACUAUUAAAGAUGUUGCUGGGUAAGGCAGGUAGUGAUCCUGACAAGUCUAUGGAGCAAUGGAUCAAGGACUACCAGUAGAGGAACAGUCAAAUGAGGAGCCUCCAGUUGAGGAACCAUCUAUCCAAAUACAAAUUUUGGAGCAGAUCACUGACAGUAAUUUAUUACAAUCCUGUUAUUUCAUUUAGAAAACAGAUAUGCAAAUCUAUUCUUCAGUUGAUGAUGAACAAAAUGAUAUAUAUGUUGCCUCCUCUUCAAGAGUAUAUGCUGCCCCAUCAUCAGUUCAAAGGAGAGGGAAAUGGCAUCCAGGACCCUCACUCACUGGCUUAUUAAUGUAAUGCUUAUGCUUUGAGAUGCAGUCUCAAAUGCAAAAACAUGUAACAUUUACAUUGGUUUUGGUUGUAACUUGUGUAAUUAAUGUUUAAGUGAAUAUUGAAAUAAAAAAUAAUUGUAUAUAAAUAAAGUUU